rnacentral:rRNA from 1 species
AUAUUGCGCAAUGGAGGGAACUCUGACUCAGGGACUCCGCGUGAGCGAUGAAGGUUUUCGGAUCGUAAAGCUCUGUCCUUGGGGAAGAAGGUAGUCGGACUUGACGGUACUUAAGUAGGAAGCUCCGGCUAACUACGUGCCAGCAGCCGCAGUAAUCCGUAGGGGGCAAGCGUUGUCCGGAAUUAUUGUGCGUAAAGGGCGCGCAGGCGGUCUUCUAAGUCUGAUGUGAAAUCUCGUAGCUUAAAUACGAGCGGUCAUUGGAAACUGGGAGACUUGAGGACAGAAGAGGAGAGUGGAAUUCCACGUGUAGCGGUGAAAUGCCUAGAGAUGUGGAGGAACACCAGUGGCGAAGGCGACUCUCUGGUCUGUAACUGACGCUGAGGCGCGAAAGCGUGGAGAGCGAACA